UACGUAGGGGGGCUAGCGUUGCCGGAAUCAUUGGGCGAAAGAGCGUGUAGGCGGCCCGGUAAGUCCGCUGUAAAAGUCAAAGGCUCAACCUUUGAAUGUCAGUGGAUACUGCCGGGCUAGAGUCCGGAAGAGGCGAGUGGAACUCCUGGUGUAGCGGUGGAAUGCGCAGAUAUCAGGAAGAACACCAACGGCGAAGGCAGCUCGCUAGGACGGUACUGACGCUGGAGACGCGAAAGCGUGGGGAGGCAACGG
rnacentral:rRNA from 1 species